CCCCACUCAGGGUCACACCUGCAGAGUUUCCAGUACUCUGCCAGUCUCGACUAUGGGAGGGAGAGUCAAGCAGAGGCCUACCUAUUCCAUUCCUAGCUUGGCCGGUGGCUAGCGAGAGGAAGGCAAUCUGCUACAAGC